GACGAACGCUGGCGGCGUGCCUAAUACAUGCAAGUUGAGCGCUGAAGGUUGGUACUUGUACCCACUGGAUGAGCAGCGAACGGGUGAGUAACGCGUGGGGAAUCUGCCUUUGAGCGGGGGACAACAUUUGGAAACGAAUGCUAAUACCGCAUAAAAACUUUAAACACAAGUUUUAAGUUUGAAAGAUGCAAUUGCAUCACUCAAAGAUGAUCCCGCGUUGUAUUAGCUAGUUGGUGAGGUAAAGGCUCACCAAGGCGAUGAUACAUAGCCGACCUGAGAGGGUGAUCGGCCACACUGGGACGGAGACACGGCCCAAACGCCUACGGGAGGCAGCAGUAGGGAAUCUUCGGCAAUGGACGAAAGACUGACCGAGCAACGCCGCGGGAGGGAAGAAGGGUUUCGGAUCGGAAAACUCUGUUGGUAGAGAAGAACGUUGAUGAGAGUGGAAAGCUCAUCAAGUGACGGUAACUACCCAGAAAGGGACGGCUAACUACGUG
rnacentral:rRNA from 1 species